UACGUAGGGUGCAGGCGUUAAUCGGAAUUACUGGGCGUAAAGCGUGCGCAGGCGGUCUUUUAAGUCAGAUGUGAAAUCCCCGGGCUUAACUCGUGGCCUGCAGUUGAGACUGUCUGGCUUGAGUGUGGGAGAGGAGAGUGGAAUUCCUGGUGUAGCGGUGAAAUGCGUAGAUAUCAGGAGGAACACCGGUGGCGAAGGCGGCUUUCUGGACCACAACUGACGCUGAGGCGCGAAAGCUAGGGGGAGCAAACGGG
rnacentral:rRNA from 1 species